AGAGUUUGAUCCUGGCUCAGAACGAACGCUGGCGGCAGGCUUAACACAUGCAAGUCGGAGGUGAACCAGGGCUUCGGCCCUGUGGAAACUGGCGCACGGGUGAGUAACGCGUGGGAAUCUACCCCGGGGUGGGGAAUAACCGCUGGAAACGGCGGCUAAUACCGCAUACGCCUUGAGAGGGAAAGCUUUAUGCGCCCUGGGAUGAGCCCGCGUCGGAUUAGCUUGUUGGUGAGGUAACGGCUCACCAAGGCUUCGAUCCGUAGCUGGUCUGAGAGGAUGAUCAGCCACACUGGGACUGAGACACGGCCCAGACUCCUACGGGAGGCAGCAGUGGGGAAUAUUGGACAAUGGGGGAAACCCUGAUCCAGCCAUGCCGCGUGCGUGAAGAAGGCCUUAGGGUUGUAAAGCGCUUUCGGCGGGGAAGAUGAUGACGGUACCCGCAGAAGAAGCCCCGGCUAACUCCGUGCCAGCAGCCGCGGUAAUACGGAGGGGGCAAGCGUUGUUCGGAAUUACUGGGCGUAAAGGGCGCGUAGGCGGACGAUUAAGUCAGAGGUGAAAGCCCUGGGCUCAACCUGGGAACUGCCUUUGAAACUGAUAGUCUAGAGUCCGAGAGAGGAUGGCGGAAUUCCCAGUGUAGAGGUGAAAUUCGUAGAUAUUGGGAAGAACACCAGUGGCGAAGGCGGCCAUCUGGCUCGGUAC
rnacentral:rRNA from 1 species